rnacentral:rRNA from 1 species
AGUGAACGCUGGCGGUAGGCCUAACACAUGCAAGUCGAACGGCAGCACAGUAAGAGCUUGCUCUUACGGGUGGCGAGUGGCGGACGGGUGAGGAAUACAUCGGAAUCUACUUUUUCGUGGGGGAUAACGUAGGGAAACUUACGCUAAUACCGCAUACGACCUACGGGUGAAAGCAUGGGAUCUUCGGACCUUGCGCGAUUGAAUGAGCCGAUGUCGGAUUAGCUAGUUGGCGGGGUAAAGGCCCACCAAGGCGACGAUCCGUAGCUGGUCUGAGAGGAUGAUCAGCCACACUGGAACUGAGACACGGUCCAGACUACUACGGGAGGCAGCAGUGGGGAAUAUUGGACAAUGGGCGCAAGCCUGAUCCAGACAUACCGCGUGGGUGAAGAAGGCCUUCGGGUUGUAAAGCUCUUUUGUUGGGAAAGAAAAGCAGCAGGUUAAUACCCCGCUGUUCUGACGGUACCCAAAGAAUAAGCACCGGCUAACUUCGUG